UUGCAAUCUUGGUAGGUUGGUGA
rnacentral:siRNA from 1 species